CCCCCUCGACAGCUCUGCUAUCUUUGCUCUUGUGUUCUUAGGGUUAUACUGCUGUGAAGAGAACCAUGAACAAGGUGACUCAUAAAGAAAAACAUCUGGCUGAGGCUGGCUUACAGUUUCAGAAGGAAAAGAUGGUGGCCAUCCGGAAAACCAACCACAUCUCCCACCCUCAACGUGAUGUCGUCCUGGCAGCCUCUGCUCCUUUCAACAUCCAUGUGUUUAUUAAAGUGCACACACUUACUGUUUUUUGGUGGGCAGUAUGCUGAGGACUUAGCCCAUGAGCUAAGUUCAAAACUCUCCCAGUAAACUACUCCCAAUAAACUCCAACCCAGGGAUGAGAACUGUGCACUUUAUCUGCAGUGAUGACUCCAGAAGACAAGAAAACAGCUAGCACCUCAAGACAAAUGGGUAGAAACUGCCAGAGUAACAUGGACAUUAUUUAGCAGCUAGCACCAGUUCCUCACAAAGGUUAUACUGGUUCACUGAGCCCAAGUAUUAGUAGGCUAUUUAAAUCUACAUUUGGAAAAACUUAGAAG
rnacentral:lncRNA from 1 species